UUUUGAGCGUUCGGUGGAUGCCUUGGCAUCAGGAGCCGAUGAAGGACGUGGUGGCCUGCGAUAUGCCUCGGGGAGCCGGCUAACGGGCUGUGAUCCGAGGGUUUCCGAAUGGGGGGACCCGGCACCAGUUAUGUGGUGUCACCUGCAUCUGAAUUCAUAGGGUGUAGGGGGUGACGCGGGGAAGUGAAACAUCUCAGUACCCGCAGGAGAAGAUAUUCCGUGAGUAGUGGCGAGCGAAAGCGGAUGAUGGUUAAACCGUUUCCGUGUGAUGACCCGGCAGGGGUUGCGGUUGCGGUGUUGUGGGGCGCAUCUUUCUCACGUCUGCCGGCGUGGGGCGCAGUGAGAAACUCGCAUGGUAGCUGAAUCCUUUGGGAAGGGGAGGCGUAGUGGGUGAGACCCCCGUAGGCGAAACUGUGUGGGCUGUGUGGGUGCGUUGCCCGAGUAGCACGGGGCUCGUGGAAUCCUGUGUGAAUCUGCCAAGACCACUUGGUUGCCUGAAUACUUCCUGAUGACCGAUAGCGGAUAGUACCGUGAGGGAAUGGUGAAAAGUACCCCGGGAGGGGAGUGAAAUAGUACCUGAAACCGUGUGCUUACAAGCCGUUGGAGCCUUUUGGGGUGACAGCGUGCCUUUUGAAGAAUGAGCCUGCGAGUUAGUGUUAUGUCGCGAGGUUAACCCGUGUGGGGUAUCCGUAGCGAAAGCGAGUCUGAAUAGGGCGUUUGAGUGGCAUGACCUAGACCCGAAGCGGAGUGAUCUAUCCAUGGCCAGGUUGAAGCGACGGUAAGACGUCGUGGAGGACCGAACCCACUUCAGUUGAAAAUGGAGGGGAUGAGCUGUGGGUAGGGGUGAAAGGCCAAUCAAACUCCGUGAUAGCUGGUUCUCCCCGAAAUGCAUUUAGGUGCAGCGUCCCGUGGUCCCCGGCGGAGGUAGAGCUACUGGGUGGCUGAUCGGCCCCACAGGGUUAGUGACGUCAACCAAACUCCGAAUGCCGUUCGGGUUACAGCGGGGCAGUGAGACUGCGGGGGAUAAGCUCCGUGGUCGAAAGGGAAACAGCCCAGAUCGCCGGCUAAGGCCCCUAAGCGUGUGCUAAGUGGGAAAGGAUGUGCGGUCGCGCAGACAACCAGGAGGUUGGCUUAGAAGCAGCCACCCUUGAAAGAGUGCGUAAUAGCUCACUGGUCAAGUGAUCGUGCGCCGACAAUGUAGCGGGGCUCAAGCACACCGCCGAAGCCGCGGAUCCGCAGCGUGUACUCUCCUGUCCCUUGAUGGACGUGGCAGGGGUUGCGGGUGGUAGGGGAGCGUCCUGCACCGGGUGAAGCCUCGGAGUGAUCCAGGGGUGGAUGGUGCGGGAGUGAGAAUGCAGGCAUGAGUAGCGAUACUAGGGUGAGAAACCCUAGCGCCGAAUGACCAAGGGUUCCAGGGCCAGGCUAGUCCGCCCUGGGUGAGUCGGGACCUAAGGCGAGGCCGACAGGCGUAGUCGAUGGACGACGGGUUGAUAUUCCCGUACCGGCGAAGCACCGCCCAUGCUGACGCGCGGGUGCUAACCCACGCCGAUGGCCACGAACGCGUCAUGUGAUCACUUCGGUGGUCCGUGUCGUGGUGGUUGUUGGUCUGGGGACCCUCCGUGCAGGUAGGCAAGCGUAUUAACAGGGGUGACGCACAGUGGUAGCCUCCGCGGGCCUAAUGGCUUGGCCCGUUCAAGCGAGCAGCCCGCUGCCUAGGCAAAUCCGGGCAGCAUGAGGGUCAGACGUGAUGGUGACCCGCCCAUUUGGGUGGGGAAGUAGGGUGAUCCUGGGGUGCCGAGAAAAGCCUCGACGCGAUGGUGCCAGCCGCCCGUACCCUAAACCGACACAGGUGGUCGGGCAGAGUAUGCCUAGGCGCACGAGAUAAUCAUGGUGAAGGAACUCGGCAAAAUGCCCCCGUAACUUCGGGAGAAGGGGGACCUUGAGCGUGAUGGGCACUUGCUGCCUGGAGCGUGUAUGGGUCGCAGAGACCAGGGGGAAGCGACUGUUUAUCAAAAACACAGGUCCGUGCGAAGUCGUAAGACGAUGUAUACGGACUGACUCCUGCCCGGUGCUGGAAGGUUAAGAGGAUUGGUUAGCCCUUUUUUGGGCGAAGCUGAGAAUUUAAGCCCCAGUAAACGGCGGUGGUAACUAUAACCAUCCUAAGGUAGCGAAAUUCCUUGUCGGGUAAGUUCCG
rnacentral:rRNA from 1 species